rnacentral:lncRNA from 1 species
CUUGAAAUGAAGAAGAAUGAGCACUAAGUUAGAAAAAUGGGGCAAAUCAUGCAGAAAUACAUCAGAGUUCAGUGGAGGUGUUGGAAGUAGAUAAUAGGAAUGAUCUGGGAGGUUUUGUGAUGGGAAUAUUGCCAAGCUGCAAAUAUGCUAUAAAUGUCUCAGGGACUGAGGCACACAGGAUAUAAACCUUUUGAAAAAGAACAGAUUUCAUGGCUCUGCUACUCUGAGAACAAUGUGUUUACUGGGAAUGUUGGACUAAAACUGAAUUUCUUCAUCAACAGCUAUCGUCAGUGUGUGCUGUGUUGUAAGUGGGCAGGGGACUUCUGCCUGCAUUAAAUUAAGGAGUGUAGUGUUAGGAAUUGUUUCCUUACUCGGGAUGGCGUCACUCCAAGCCUCAAGGAUGAUGCUCUGAGGAGACACUGAAGAGCUGUGAAGAGCUGGGAGGUGGCAGGUACAGGGGGGAGCAGCUCCUGGCUUCCCUGGAGCAUCCCCCUGAAGCUGACAUUUAUGAUGACUGCUGAAUCAUGCACAGAAACUCUCAUAGAAGAGAGAGCAAAGACUUCCUCAGACAGUGCUCAGCAGUGAUGGAUGCUUGAAUGGACUUUCCUGGCUGCUACUGCAGAGAAGGCUCAGGACAUGUUUCCACAAGGAUGCUUCCCAAUGGUUCUACAAAUCCUGCUGUGCACCCCACCCAAAGCCCCACUGAGGAGGGUCACUGCUGAUGAGGGGGGGCACAGCUCCAGCUCCUUUGCUCCUGAGCACUUUCUGCUGCUGGCUUUGCCUCUCUACCUGCUGUUUAUAAAUGUUUUACAGAAUCUGCUUCCUUGAAACCAAAGUGAAGCAACAGCUGUGUUUGCAUCAAGUUGCAACAUCUCCUUGCUGGAUGGAGGCACAUCUUGUCACAAGUGGCGCUGGUAGCAAAAACUCAGUGAAAGAACCUGCCUGGCUGGGAGCUGCUCACUCCUCUGAGGGGAGCUGGAGACACAAUUUCACUUGGUUUCUUUAAAGAAAGAGCUGAACUCCACCCAAGGUCAAUGAACUGAAGUUUUAGUAAACCUAGACCUGAAUUUGUGAGAAUUUAGGCCAAUAGGUGGGUUCUAGUGAAAACUAAGUCAGACUUUGGAUGCAAACUAGCAGAGCUUUCUGAUUUUGAGCACCUCUCGAGGAUUCAGUGAAGCCAGGAAGUCCUCAAGUUUCAUCUGAAUCCUAAAGUCAAGAAAACUCUAAUAUAAAAUGCUGCUUUGAUGAAACUCAGAGCACAAAUGUCGUAAAAUAUGCAUCACUGAGCAUCUUUAAAAUUAUAAUGCAAUGACUUUAGACUGCUUUCAGAUCCAACUGAGCCAUGCUUAAAGUAGUGUACUUGGUACCAAAGUCCAGUAAAUGAUUUAUAUUCUUAUAUAU